rnacentral:rRNA from 1 species
AUGACGGUGGUGCACAUCCCGCGCCAGUUCAAGGUGUCGGACUGGUUCCUGAACAGGAAGAAGGACUACAAGGACGUGAGGUUCUCCCAGGUCAUCUCCAACACUGUCGACAUGAAGCUCAGGGAUGACCUUGAGAGGCUCAAGAAGAUCAGGUAUAACCUCGAGCUGGGCCAAGGGAGCAAGCAGCGCUGCUAG